GCGGAGGGAUCAUUGCGAAACGAGUCUCCGGACUUCUAAACCACUGUGAACCUUACCUUUGUUCUAGUUGCUUCGGCGGCCGGCUCCCCCCCGGGGGGGCCGCCGUGGCCCGCCCGUUGGGUGGCCGCCGGGCGACGACCCCAAAGAAACCAUUGCGUAUCAGUUAGUUACCUCUGAGUCUAUUACCAUAAAACGUAAUUAAAACUUUCAACAAUGGAUCUCUUGGCUCUGGCAUCGAUGAAGAACGCAGCGAAAUGCGAUAAGUAAUGCGAAUUGCAGAAUUCAGUGAAUCAUCGAAUCUUUGAACGCACAUUGCGCCCGCCAGCACUCUGGCGGGCAUGCCUGUCCGAGCGUCAUUUCAACCCUCGGGGCCCGCGCCUUCACCGGCCGGGCACCGGUGUUGGGGCGCUGCGAGCACCGUCUCUGCAGCCCCCUAAAGAAAUCGGCGGACCCGCUGAGGCACCCGAGCGCAGUAGAACCUCUUCUCGCUGUGGGCUGUCCCGGUGGGCUUCCGGCCGCUAAAGCCUAGAGGGCGCAAGCCCCCUAACCUCGAAAUUUUGACCUCGGAUC
rnacentral:rRNA from 1 species